rnacentral:rRNA from 1 species
CUAAGUUUGAUGGCGACCGGCGCACGGGUGAGUAACACGUAUCCAACCUGCCGAUGACUCGGGGAUAGCCUUUCGAAAGAAAGAUUAAUACCCGAUGUCAUAGUCCUACCGCAUGAUGGGAUUAUUAAAGAAUUUCGGUAUGGGAUGGGGAUGCGUUCCAUUAGUUAGUUGGCGGGGUAACGGCCCACCAAGACAACGAUGGAUAGGGGUUCUGAGAGGAAGGUCCCCCACAUUGGAACUGAGACACGGUCCAAACUCCUACGGAAGGCAGCAG